UACGUAGGUGGCGAGCGUUGUCCGGAUUUACUGGGCGUAAAGCGCGCGCAGGCGGGCUGGUCAGUCCGGGGUGAAAUCUCACGGCUCAACCGUGAGCGGUCCCCGGAUACUGCCAGUCUUGAGGUGUCUAGAGGAGAGCGGAAUUCCCGGUGUAGUGGUGAAAUGCGUAGAUAUCGGGAGGAACACCAGUGGCGAAGGCGACUUCCUGGCCUGUUCUUGACGCUGAGGCGCGAAAGCUAGGGGAGCAAACGGG
rnacentral:rRNA from 1 species